GCAGCAGCUUAAGUACAGAGGUUAUAAACGGUAAUCAUUAAACCCAUUCUCAGCCAAGAAGCUUUGAGAUAAGAACCACAGAUAAUAUCUGAAUUCCUGGACGGAUGGAUGUUCUGCACAGCUUGUGAUGGUCUCAGAUGUCUCUUCGUGCAUCAAAUCUACACACUCAUCUGUUUUUUAAGGCCUCCCAAAUCACUGAAGACUAGGCUGAGACUGAUAGUCUUCUUAAGAAGUCUUGAGAACAGAAGUAGUCAUCCAGAAUAAAUUCCUCCUGCAAAGUGUUUUUUGGAGCUGGGAAGAAUGGAAUCAAGAGGGAUGUUCCAGCUUUUUCAGUAUAGCUAAAACACAAGUGAGAACAGACACCCAGAAUUUUCCAUGUGAGGCUCUGAUGCAAGGCCAGAGCUGGCAGCUGGGGGCAGUUGCCUGCCUGACCUUUUUUUCCCCCUCAAACCAAAUGGAUUGCUUCCGCCCACCACUG